rnacentral:miRNA from 1 species
CUCCCCACCCCUGUACCAGUGA